UUGUGUUUCUUCAAAUUUUUUCACUUUCAUGCUUUUGUUUUCUGAAAAACUAAAGCAGAUAAAAUAUGUAUGAACUUCAUUAAUUUUUCGUCUCAUUAAACCAGAAACACUAAAUUUGUAUUCGAUUUUCAGUUAAUUAUUCUAUUUUUUUUAUUCUUAACUUCAGUGUUCAACUGCUAUAAGUAUUUCAACGGUAUAUUUUCCAAUUUUUUAGACCGCGAAUUAAAACCAAAUAACUCAAUCAGUAAAAAACAAUGCGAAAUCUAUAUAUCAUGGCCGUCUAGUAGAUUAAAUAGACAUUUUUUCUGCUACUAUCCUCCAUUUACUCCUUCUCUUACCCUCAUUGCAACUAGAAUUACUGAUAAAAUUACGUUUUGGGUAAUUAUUGGAAAUCUAAUUUUUUUUUUGGCUUUAUUAAACAUUUUGAUUCAUAAAUUUGAAAGGCUAAUAGAAGAAGAAAGAAGAAUAGCCUCCGAGAAAUCAAGGAUUUUUAGCUCACCUUCUUCAGCUCUUAAAAACCAAAAAAUAGAUCGGAAUAUCGAAAGCAAAUGUUUGGCUUCUAAAAUCCAGGUUUUACCAAAAAAAAAUAUUACAUGGGAAAAAGUACCACACAACAAUCUAGAUAUUGGUCAAGUUAACUGGAAUAGUGUGUAUUUUGAACCAUCUAAUUCAAAAAACAAUGACCGCGUAAACUGCACAAAAGAGCAAUCCAUCCUUAUGGAUCCUCCUAUCCAGCCAAUAGAAAUUGAAGAUCGAUACGAAUGUUUUAUUUAUGAAUCACAUCAAUUAUCGACAUGUUUCAGAAGAAACAGACUAAAAUCUUGAGAUAGUUCUCAAAAAACCAGCAAUAACCAAAACAGGCGUCUCAUUUAUAAAAAUUAAACAUGAGGAAUACCGGUUUUUCUCUGAGAUCAUUUACCAAGGACAAAAGGAA